rnacentral:rRNA from 1 species
GUGUACGGCCAUACCAUCCUGAACGCGCCUGAUCUCGUCUGAUCUCAGAAACUAAGCAGGGUUGGGCCUGAUUAAUAAUUGGAUGGGAGAUUAUACAAAAUUAAUGAAAGAUGUUGACG